ACCUUAUAAAGAGUGACUGAGAGACUGGCUCUAUGAUGUCACACCAACCUAUUUGAUUAGGUGGUAAGCCCAGAUGGAUAAGGA
rnacentral:ncRNA from 2 species